rnacentral:siRNA from 1 species
GAAAGGCGGUUGGACUAAUAACA